CACCUCUCAGGAUCACACCCGGAGAGUUUCCAUGACUCUACCAGUCUCACCUGUGGGAGGGAGAGUCAAGCAGAGGCCUACCCAUUCCAUUCCUAGCUUGUGUAGAGGCUAGAGAGUGGAAGGCAAUCUGCUUAAAGU